rnacentral:rRNA from 1 species
GAUGAACGCUCGCUGUGGUGCCUAUACAUGCAUGUUGAACGGGAUGUAGCAUUACAUUCAGUAGCGAAUGGGUGAGUAACACGUACCUAACCUACCUUUAAGACUGGGAUAACUAUUGGAAACAAUAGCUAAUACCGGAUAUAGUUAUUUAUCGCAUGAUGAGUAAUAGAAAGGAGCUUCACAGCUUCACUUAAAAAUGGGGGUGCGGAACAUUAGUUAGUUGGUAGGGUAAUGGCCUACCAAGACGAUGAUGUUUAGCCGGGCCGAGAGGCUGUACGGCCACACUGGGACUGAGAUACGGCCCAGACUCCUACGGGAGGGCAGCAGUGGGGAAUAUUGGACAAUGGGCGAAAGCCCUGAUCCAGCAAUGCCGCGUGAGUGAUGAAGGCCUUAGGGUUGUAAAGCUCUUUUACCCGGGAUGAUAAUGACAGUACCGGGAGAAUAGGCUCCGGCUAACUCCGUGCCAGCAGCCGCGGUAAUACGGAGGGAGCUAGCGUUGUUCGGAAUUACUGGGCGUAAAGCGCGCGUAGGCGGUUUUUUAAGUCAGAGGUGAAAGCCCGGGGCUCAACCCCGGAAUUGCCUUUGAAACUGGAAAACUUGAAUCUUGGAGAGGUCAGUGGAAUUCCGAGUGUAGAGGUGAAAUUCGUAGAUAUUCGGAAGAACACCAGUGGCGAAGGCGACUGACUGGACAAGUAUUGACGCUGAGGUGCGAAAGCGUGGGGAGCAAACAGG